CCUGUUUCUACUUGCCCUGUAGAGCAGUUGCCUCCUGUUGGUCCACCCUACUGGAAGUCUGAGCUGGGCAGAGAAGCACCAAAAGUGGAGCUGGAGGAGCAAACAGAAUAUCCAGCACACUGCAGAAAGCUGAGAUUGGUAUUCUUCUACCGCAUGGCUACUCCUGCCACCAAGGGGAACACAGAGUAAAGUGACAACACUAAUUCAGAAGCACGGGAAAGAUGAAAUUAUUUUUGAUGGAGAGAGCAUUUAGUUUCUCAGAGAGAAGACAGGACA
rnacentral:lncRNA from 1 species